rnacentral:rRNA from 1 species
GAUGAACGCUGGCGGCGUGCCUAAUACAUGCAAGUCGAGCGAACAGACGAGGAGCUUGCUCCUCUGACGUUAGCGGCGGACGGGUGAGUAACACGUGGAUAACCUACCUAUAAGACUGGGAUAACUUCGGGAAACCGGAGCUAAUACCGGAUAACAUGUUGAACCGCAUGGUUCAACAGUGAAAGACGGUUUUGCUGUCACUUAUAGAUGGAUCCGCGUCGCAUUAGCUAGUUGGUAAGGUAACGGCUUACCAAGGCAACGAUGCGUAGCCGACCUGAGAGGGUGAUCGGCCACACUGGAACUGAGACACGGUCCAGACUCCUACGGGAGGCAGCAGUAGGGAAUCUUCCGCAAUGGGCGAAAGCCUGACGGAGCAACGCCGCGUGAGUGAAGAAGGUCCUCGGAUCGUAAAACUCUGUUAUUAGGGAAGAACAAAUGUGUAAGUAACUAUGCACGUCUUGACGGUACCUAAUCAGAAAGCCACGGCUAACUACGUG